rnacentral:pre_miRNA from 1 species
CAGUAGGAUCGGAGACGCAGUGAAGCCCCCUUGCUGCUGCGAUUCUUUCCGACUUACAACGUGCUCGUGGCGAGCACAUUGUAGGUGUAGAGGAUUGCAGCAGCAACGGGGCUCCGCUGAGUGUCCGAAUCUACUG